UACAAAGGGCUGACAGCUGGCACGAGAGGCCCCCGCAUGGACAUACACGAUGCCAGUUUGAGCGUCUCCCACAGGAGCGUGCCAGCUGUGCCACUGAAGACAGGACAUCAUAAAGAGGGGGCAACAAGGGCAGUUUAAGACAGGUGUCAGCAGACUCUCUGAAAGACCUGGCGCCAGAUGGGAUCAGCAGGUAUCUCCUUCAUUGUUGCAGAGAGAAAGUGGGAUUUAGAGAGGGAACAAAUGGCCCCAACUGCUAUACAAGAGACACCCUGAAAUGUGCAAAUGAGAAUGCAUGACAAUGGAGAAAUCCUGGUCCUUCCGUUAAAUAACAACAUGUCCCCUGAAGGACUCCUCAAAUGGGCUCCAGCCAUAUCUUGGCACGACAGAGAAAAGAAGGAGUCUUGGAGGACGAGCAAGGAGCAGAAGGUUUCCUUUUGGACUAAUCAGUUACUGAACCAAUCAUUUAAUCUAAAACUUGGUAUGAACUAAACCUGCACAAGCCCAGUGUUCAGAUGGUGGGGUGAGUCCGGGUCAGGCCUGCAGGGGGUGGAUACCUCUCCCCUACUGAGGGGUUUGAAACAUCAAAGCAGCCAACCCACCCCCAAAACCAUUAGUAGGAGAGAGCACAGAGAGACAUAAUGAAUAAACAUUGGUCUGGCUGGCUUCCUGGACCAGGAUGAGGGAGAAUUGGAAUAUUAAGUCCAUUCUGAUUCCUCCCAGUGUUUCUGAAGCCUCAGUCAUCCAUGACUCCCGGACCCGCUUUCAGCAUCAUCACACAGCGCUAUGCUCACUCUGCACAAACACCACAUCCCUCCACUGGGUCACUCACUGUACCAUGACACUGUUACUAUGACAACGUCCCACCACUUCCUCUCCUCAGCAACGCAAACACAAACCGGGAAGGUGGGGAGAAGAGCGGGAGGAGCAAACACACCCAUUUACACACUCACACACACACACACAGACAAGCAUGGAGUGGAAAUCUUUCUUUGAUGCUAAUGCAAAGAGACUGGUACACUGAAAACCUCCUCAUCUUCCUCCUCCUCCUCUUCCUGACGUGGCUCUCUGGUACUGGAGUGUGAGGAGAGGGGAGGCAGGAUGCACCCCGCCCACCAAGUCACAUGAUGCCAUCAACCAUGACCACAAGAGCACACAAGAGCAUCCACACUGCAUCCAUCUUUCUGAUGUAUUCAUAACAAGAUUUAUUCAUAACAAGGCUUCAAUAAUUUAGGCUGUGACCAGGUAGUGCUCCCCAAACUAUCCUGGAAAUGUUUACAGUAAGACAUCAUCCAACAUCUCCGCAAUCCAUAACAAGACUCAACGUUAAAUUCAUCAAAUAGACUCAAAUGGAAAAGACAGUAAGACAACCAUUGCAGGAAAAUUCAUACUCCAAAAUAUAGCUGCAUCAAAGAAAGCCAGCUUUCCCGUCCAAGCGCUAAGAAGAUUAGUCCAGGGGAAAUGCGACAAUGUUCAAAAAUAGUGUUCAGCUUUAUCUACAGGCCGGGAUGGGUUUCCAGCUCUGCCAGCUGUGAAGGAAAACAUGAAGCGACCAACAUGUUAGCACCACUCACUGCUCCAGCUGUGAAGCUCUGCAGUGUCUGCUGAACAGACAUUCUUCUCAUGUAAACGCACUUUGAUUGGGGCUCUCCUGGAAUGCUGUAUGCAAUGAGCACGUGAAACAUAAAGCAGCUGAACUUGGUUUGCACUCCAGAAAAGAUAAAUAAAUAAGAGAUAAAGAGUAAAGGCCUCGUCUUUUCCCAGGGGCACUUAACUCUCUAUUUCCCUUAGACGUCAAGUAGCUUCAUAAGUUUGUUUGUUGGGAAUAUCAUCAUUGAUACAGUAGAGCUAAAAUGUGUAUUUAGUUUGGUCUAAAUCCAUGCUAGCAGCUCUGAUAUGAUCAAAGCUUGAUGCAGGAAGCUGACAUCAGCAUGUUACAUGCAACAUGCUAAUGUUUGGCUAGUGUUAAUGUGUCCACCCUCUUAGUUUAGCAUGUUAGCAUGCUAACUAGCUAACUAAACACAAGCAACAAUUAAGGCCGAUGCAAAUAUUAUGGGUUUGCAGGAACUUGAUUAUAAGCCAAAGUAUUUGGCUAUUUAUUUAUGAGACUUGAUGAUGUUGCAUUAUAGUGUGCUCAAUAAAUCACGAGGGACAUGUGUGUACCAAACAUCGUGAUAAUCUAUGAUAUAGGUAUACAGACAUUUCCCUGAAAAUUCAUCAACCUCUUGUUGCUAAAUCAACGUAUGAUUCAUCCUCUGUGAAACGUGAAUUUUGGUUAAAUAAUGAUGGCAAUCCAUAACUUAUGUUUUGUGAUCUCUUUCUUUAGAGCCAUGCUGCUUAC